UACGUAGGGGGCAAGCGUUGUUCGGAAUUACUGGGCGUAAAGGGUUCGUAGGUGGCUUGCUAAGUCAGACGUGAAAUCCCUCAGCUUAACUGGGGAACUGCGUCUGAUACUGGCGAGCUUGAGUGCAGGAGAGGAACGCGGAAUUCCAGGUGUAGCGGUGAAAUGCGCAGAUAUCAGGAGGAACACCGGUGGCGAAGGCGGGUCUCUGGGCCGAUACUGACGCUGAGGAGCGAAAGCGUGGGGAGCAAACAGG
rnacentral:rRNA from 1 species